rnacentral:rRNA from 1 species
CGGCGGACGGGUGAGUAACGCGUGGGUAACCUACCCUGUACACACGGAUAACAUACCGAAAGGUAUGCUAAUACGGGAUAAUAUAUUUGAGAGACAUCUCUUGAAUAUCAAAGGUGAGCCAGUACAGGAUGGACCCGCGUCUGAUUAGCUAGUUGGUAAGGUAACGGCUUACCAAGGCGACGAUCAGUAGCCGACCUGAGAGGGUGAUCGGCCACAUUGGAACUGAGACACGGUCCAA